UACAGAGGGGGCAAGCGUUGUUCGGAAUUACUGGGCGUAAAGGGCGCGUAGGCGGCCCACUAAGUCGAACGUGAAAUCCCUGGGCUCAACCCAGGAACUGCGUCCGAUACUGGUGGGCUCGAAUCCGGGAGAGGGAUGUGGAAUUCUUGGUGUAGCGGUGAAAUGCGUAGAUAUCAAGAGGAACACCUGCGGCGAAGGCGGGUUGCUGGGCCGACACUGACGCUGAAGCGCGAAAGCUAGGGGAGCGAACGGG
rnacentral:rRNA from 1 species